UACGUAGGGUACAAGCGUUAAUCGGAAUUACUGGGCGUAAAGCGUGCGCAGGCGGUUGUGCAAGACAGAUGUGAAAUCCCCGAGCUCAACCUGGGAAUUGCAUUUGUGACUGCACGGCUAGAGUGUGUCAGAGGGGGGUAGAAUUCCACGUGUAGCAGUGAAAUGCGUAGAGAUGUGGAGGAAUACCGAUGGCGAAGGCAGCCCCCUGGGAUAACACUGACGCUCAUGCACGAAAGCGUGGGGAGCAAACAGG
rnacentral:rRNA from 1 species